AUGACAGUUGCCUUUUGGCUUAGAUCAAGUGUAGUAUCUGUUGUGAGUACCCCUGCCUUCAGAUUAAUACGAACAAUGCUAACCUCGUUCCAGCUUUUCAGUUUAAUCUCUGAAACGAGUCUACGGACUCAUUUAUUGAUUAUACUUAUUUUUGCAACUCGGAAGACGGCCUCUGCGCUUGCGUACGUCGCCUUCCACCGUGUCGCUGGUAUUGCACUGCCUCCAGCUGACGCGAAUACCU
rnacentral:snRNA from 1 species